rnacentral:sRNA from 1 species
CAACGGAUUCCGACUGGCAUACGGGUACUUUUUUGGUUGGUCAGUUGGUCAAGAGUAUCAGAGAUGUCAGGAGACUUACGGCGUCCACGAGUUUGCCACGCUAUGCCAAAUGCUUCUUCGGAGCAUCAACAAAGAACACAUGGGCUUCAAGGCUGUUUAUAUUCCCAAGUCCACAUGUUCCUAUAUGAAUGAAACAAGAAAAUUGUUGAAGAAAAUCAGCGAGACGGACUUCCAGUGGACAGACUUCAAACCCGGCUGGGGCUGGACAGACACAUUACAAUGCAUGACCAACUA